rfam:Monodelphis domestica chromosome 1, whole genome shotgun sequence.
CUGUGUAUAUGGGAUCUUGACAGUAGCAUAUGUUUUUCUCAAAGAUUAAGCCAUGCAUGUCUAAGUACACAUGUCCAGUACAGUGAAAGUGUGAAUGGCUCAUUAAAUCCAUUAUGGUUCCUUUGGUUGCUUGCUCCCUCCUACUUGGAUAACUGUGGUAAUUUUAGAGUUAAUACAUGCCGAUGAGUGCUGACCUGGGUCCCCUUCCCCCAUGGAUGGGGGCCCCCAGGGAUGCAUGCAUGCAUUCAUCAGACCAAAACCAACCCAGCAGCUUCCCCUCAACCCCACAACUUGGACCAAUUGCACACCACCCAUGGAGGUGAUGACCCAUUUGAACAUCUGCCCUAUCAACUUUAAAUGGUAGUUGCCAUACCUACCAUGGUGACCAUGGGUAAUGGGGAAUCAGGGUUUGAUUCCAGAGAGAGAGCCUGAGAAACUGCUUCCACAUCCAAGGAAGGCAGUCAGCAUGCAAAUUAUCCACUCCUGACCCAUGGAGUUAGUGACAAAAAAUAACAAUAUAGGACUGUUUUGAAGCCCUGUAAUUGGAAAGAGUACACUUCAAAUAAUUUAAUGAAGAUCCAUUGAAGGGCAAAUCUUGUGCCAGCAGUCACAGUUAUUCCAGCUCUAAUAGCAUAUAUUAAAGUUGCUGCAGUUAAAAAGCUUGUAGCUAUAUCUUGGAAUCAAGCUGGUGGUCUGCCACAAGGUGAGCCACUGCCUGUCCUAGCCCCUGCCUCUUGGCACCCCCUUGAUGCUCUUAGCUAGGUGUCCCACAAGGCCUGAAGCAUUUACUUUAAAAAAAAUUAGAGUGUUCAAAGCAGGCCUGAGUCACCUGGAUAUCCCAGCUAGGAAUAAUGGGAUUGAACCCCAGUUCUAUUUUGUUGGUUUUUAGAACUGGGGCCAGAAUUAAGAGGGAUGGCCAGGGGCACUCAUAUUGUGCCACUAGAAGUGAAAUUCUUGGCCUGGAGCAAGAUGGACCAGAGAGAAAGCAUUUGCCAAGAAUGUUUUCAUUAAUCAAGAACGAAAGUCGGAGGUUCGAAGAUGAUCAGAUACCAUCAUAGUUCCGACUAUAAAUGAUGCUGACUAGUGAUCCAGCAGCAUUAUUCCCAUGACCCACUGAGCAGCUUCCUGGAAACCAAAGUCUUUAGGUUCUG